rnacentral:rRNA from 1 species
GACGAACCGUCCAAACGUUGUUCGGAAUCACUGGGCUUAAAGGGCGCGUAGGCGGGUUCCCAAGUCGGUGGUGAAAUCUUUCGGCCCAACCGGAAAACAGCCGCCGAUACUGGGGACCUCGAGGGAGGUAGGGGUCGAGGGAACUUCCGGUGGAGCGGUGAAAUGCGUAGAUAUCGGAAGGAACGCCGGUGGCGAAAGCGCUCGACGUGGACCUCUUCUGACGCUGAGGCGCGAAAGCCAGGGGAGCAAACGGG